UACAGAGGUCUCGAGCGUUAGGCGGAAUCACUGGGCUUAAAGCGUGUGUAGGCGGAUCGUUAAGUACCUUGUGAAAUCCCACGGCUUAACCGUGGAACUGCUUGGUAUACUGGCGGUCUUGAGCCAGCUAGGGGCUACCGGAACAAAUGGUGGAGCGGUGAAAUGCGUAGAUAUCAUUUGGAACGCCAAUGGUGAAAACAGGUAGCUGGGGGUGUGCUGACGCGUGAGAACACGAAAGCCAGGGAGCAAACGGG
rnacentral:rRNA from 1 species